rnacentral:rRNA from 1 species
GGGGAAUAUUGGACAAUGGGCGCAAGCCUGAUCCAGCCAUGCCGCGUGAGUGAUGAAGGCCCUAGGGUUGUAAAGCUCUUUCAACGGUGAAGAUAAUGACGGUAACCGUAGAAGAAGCCCCGGCUAACUUCGUGCCAGCAGCCGCGGUAAUACGAAGGGGGCUAGCGUUGUUCGGAAUUACUGGGCGUAAAGCGCACGUAGGCGGAUAUUUAAGUCAGGGGUGAAAUCCCGGGGCUCAACCUCGGAACUGCCUUUGAUACUGGGUAUCUUGAGUAUGGAAGAGGUAAGUGGAAUUGCGAGUGUAGAGGUGAAAUUCGUAGAUAUUCGCAGGAACACCAGUGGCGAAGGCGGCUUACUGGUCCAUUACUGACGCUGAGGUGCGAAAGCGUGGGGAGCAAAC